GGGAAACGCCCGGACACAUUCCGAACCCGGAAGCUAAGACUCGCAGCGCCGAUGGUACUGCAGGGGGGACCCUGUGGGAGAGUAGGACACCGCCGGAC
rnacentral:rRNA from 1 species